rnacentral:tRNA from 2 species
GGAGAAAUGGCUGAGUGGACUAAGGCACUCCCCUGCUAAGGGAGCGGCCUCUUCGGAGGCCCGAAGGUUCGAAUCCUUCUUUCUCCACCA